rnacentral:rRNA from 1 species
CGGUCCUAAGGUAGCGAAAUUCCUUGUCGGGUAAGUUCCGACCUGCACGAAUGGCAUAAUGAUGGCCAGGCUGUCUCCACCCGAGACUCAGUGAAAUUGAAAUCGCCGUGAAGAUGCGGUGUACCCGCGGCUAGACGGAAAGACCCCGUGAACCUUUACUAUAGCUUGACACUGAACAUUGAAUUUUGAUGUGUAGGAUAGGUGGGAGCCUUUGAAGCAGUCACGCCAGUGAUUGUGGAGGCGUCCUUGAAAUACCACCCUUUAACGUUUGAUGUUCUAACGAAGAUUACGAAACGUGGUCUCGGACAGUGUCUGGUGGGUAGUUUGACUGGGGCGGUCUCCUCCCAAAGAGUAACGGAGGAGCACGAAGGUUUGCUAAUGACGGUCGGACAUCGUCAGGUUAGUGCAAUGGUAUAAGCAAGCUUAACUGCGAGACAGACAAGUCGAGCAGGUACGAAAGUAGGUCAUAGUGAUCCGGUGGUUCUGAAUGGAAGGGCCAUCGCUCAACGGAUAAAAGGUACUCCGGGGAUAACAGGCUGAUACCGCCCAAGAGUUCAUAUCGACGGCGGUGUUUGGCACCUCGAUGUCGGCUCAUCACAUCCUGGGGCUGAAGUAGGUCCCAAGGGUAUGGCUGUUCGCCAUUUAAAGUGGUACGCGAGCUGGGUUUAGAACGUCGUGAGACAGUUCGGUCCCUAUCUGCCGUGGGCGUUGGAGAAUUGGUUGGGGCUGCUCCUAGUACGAGAGGACCGGAGUGGACGCACCACUGGUGUUCCGGUUGUGUCGCCAGACGCAUUGCCGGGUAGCUAAGUGCGGAAGAGAUAAGUGCUGAAAGCAUCUAAGCACGAAACUUGCCAAGAGAUGAGUUCUCCCAGAUUUAAAAUCUGUAAGGGUUGUUUAAGACUAAGACGUAGAUAGGUCUGGUGUGUAAGCGGUGUGAGCCGUUGAGCUAACAGAUACUAAUUGCCCGAGAGGCUUAACUAU